rnacentral:rRNA from 1 species
UAGCGUAUAUUAAAGUUGUUGCGGUAAAAAAGCUCGUAGUUGGAUUUCUGUCAAGGGCGACCGGUCCGUACCAAGUGCGCGCAUCUGGUUCGACCUCGGCAUCCUCUCGGAAGACGUUUCUGCGCUUGAUUGCGUGGAGCGGAGUUCGGGACUUUUACUUUGAGGAAAUUAGAGUGUUCACGGCAGGCUAACGCCAGAAUACAUUAGCAUGGAAUAAUACUAUAGGAUCUUGAUUCUAUUUUGUUGGUUUCUAGGAUUAAGAUAAUGAUUAAUAGGGACAAUUGGGGGCAUUCGUAUCAACACGUC